UUUAUAAUAAAUAUGAAUAAAAGGGUUAAUUUAUGUUGGUUGGGGGUUAUUGGUUAUUAUAAAAAUAGUAGGGGUAAGUGAUAUAUAUUGAUUUCAGUAUAAGGGAAAUUGACAAUCUCCUUAAACAUAUCAUUAGCGUAGUGAUUUAGUGGACAAUGAUGGUUAUUUUAUAGUGAAAGAUAGUGUUAUGUGAUAUUGUUUCGAUCAUUUUAACAUAUAGUGUCACAGAAUUCUACCAUGUGUUUACGUGCUAACUAUAUGGUGGAUACUACUGUUCACUAGUUGUUCUUCUCAUAUAGUUAUAAAUAUAUUUUUAGAGUUUCUCAAUUUGUUAUACAAUCUUGAAUGAAUUGGCAGGUCAACUUGACAUAAUUGUUCNNNNNNNNNNNNNNNNNNNNNNNNNNNNNNNNNNNNNNNNNNNNNNNNNNNNNNNNNNNNNNNNNNNNNNNNNNNNNNNNNNNNNNNNNNNNNNNNNNNNAAGUUGGUUAAUAAUUAAAUUUUUUCGCAAAUCUAAACUUUUAUAGUUUUUUGGUCUACAUAAAUUGGUUAACGAAUAUAAGGAAAACGCUUAAACUAAGAGGUUGUUUGAUAAAUGUCUGAAGUCUGAAAUUUUAUAAUUUCAGACAUUUUUUAAAAUAUGUUUGUUUAUUUUUUGUAACUUAUGUCUAAUUUUCAGACAUUUACAUCUGAAUAAAAAAAGUAAACUUUUGUGACUUUUAUCUAAAUGGAAAAAAUGUCUGAAUGACAAGUAAAUAUUAUAUUCUAAAAAUAUCUCUAUAAAAUAACUUAUUUCCUAAACUAUAAAAUCUAAUCCUUUUUUGUUUUAAUUUACCAAGACACAAAUGUCAAAUAACCAAGUUUAAGAUAUUUUUUUAUUGUAAAAAUAAACAAGAUGCCACUUAUAUUCAGAUAUUUAAAAAAGAAAAACAAACAUGUCAUUUAGAUUUUCGUAAUCAGACCCAUUCAAACUUUAGAAAAAUUCAGAUCUAUUUAGAUUUCAGACAAAAAAACAAAUGCUACCUAAGAGAGGAUUCUAAUUCAUGUAAAUACAAUUUUUUAUUUGAUAAUAACAUUUAUAUUACAUGCGAGGUUAUAGAUUAGAUUAUAAUUUUUAAUUACAGACCAUAUAAUUUACUACUAUGCCAAAUAUCAGAAUCAUAUGCCAGAUUUUUUACAAUAUGUUAGAUUAUAUGACAAAUUCUUCGGGAUUUAAACUUUUACUAUAUGUCAGAUUAUAAAACGGACUCUUAGGAUUUAGAUCUUUUACUCUAUUUAGAUUAUUUCACGGAUCCUUCGGAAUUCAGAUUCUUUUACUCUAUGUUAGGUUAUAUAACGGAUUCUUUAGAAUUUAACCUUUUUUUUUCCUUUUCAUAUUUAAUACCCUCUAAACCACUACUUUUCUUCUUAUAAAUAAUUCUAGAGGCUCUCUUGAUCAUUCACAUUUUACACAAGAACUCAUUUUCUAAUUUGUAAAACUUCUUAAAUAUUCCUCUUUAGAUAAUAUUUCACAAAAAUCAUGGUUGAAGUUGUUGAACGAGAAGGAGAAGAUGAAGAAGAAGAGGAAACAAAAGUUAUAAAAAAAUUAAGUUUGAUAAUAUCGAAUUAGCGAUUUACCAGAAAUAGGAAGGUAAGAUACAAGGAUUUUCAAAUUUCAUAAUGCAAACUUUUUGGGCAUGAUAUACAUGAAGAUGUUGCAUCACGAGUCCUUCUUUACUUCAGAUUUUCGCUUAUUGUAAUAUCUAAAUGGGAAAUAAUCUAUAAACCACCAGUGAUGAAGGUAUGAUUAAAAAAAAAGAAAGCUCAGAUUUUGUUUUGUACUUUAAGUAUUGCCCUAUAACUCUCAAUGAUCUGCUCUCUUAACAUAAAAAGAAAACUUUAUAAUGUCUUUUGAUAUUUGACAUAAACAAUAGUAAAAUGUGUUUUAAUUUCUUGCUUCAUUAUGCACAGUACAUGCCAUGAACAUGAAGUCAUGCACUGUCGCCAUUUGUCUAUUUUCAUUAUACUUUGAUGCAACAGGGAGUUUAUUAAUAGAAUUACAAGAAAAUUUACAUAAUUAUACAUUUUGUAAACUCCAUCUCACUGCAGCAAAUUGGAGGAUUGAACGUAACCUACGCUCAAAUGGGACAACUUAUGUUACGGUAAGUUGAUUUACUUUAUGUUUCGAUCCCAUUGAUGAAUUUAUUCCUUGUUAUUAAGUUAAUUAUUGGUGAAGCUUAUUGUGAGAUUAAAGAUUUGGUUUCAAAUAAGAGAUUUUGUUAAAUGGAAGUAGCAUGUUUGAGAAUAUUUGUUGUCAGAAUCAAGUGUUUGAUGCAAUGAACUAACUGCUCGAUGAAACGUUUCAAUGAGCUCCUCUACACCAAGCCCCCGUCAGCAGGGGUCCUUUGUGUAUCAGCAGCAUAUGAUUGGGCAUGAAGACAGGUGAAGCUGUCCUAUAUGUGCAAAGGACAUUUGAUAACAGCCUUUAGAGCAAAUUGAACAUUGCCAUUAGAUCCAUAUAUCUUAUAGCUGUGUAGUACUUUGUAUAUGUUUUAAUGAAAUAUUAUGCUGUGCCGUUUUGCUAUCCUUUGAUAUUGGGUGUAAAUCAGUCGAUUUUAUUUACUAUAUGGAAAGCUAUGAUCUCUAGUCAAUUUCAUACAAACUUAUUAAUUUAACAAACUUGUGUUGUUACAAUUUUACUUCACAGUCCUCUCUCUUUCCUCCAUUCUCCAUAAAACCCUCAUAGAGAUUCAACUUCUCUUCGUCUUUUUGUAUUUCUCUUAAUAAAAAUAAAAAUAGAAAAUCAAAGACUAUUAUAUGAUCAACAUGGCUCUCAAAAAUGUGCUUCUUCUUUCGGUUUUGGCAUGCCUCAUGUCGUCAUCAUAUCCAUAUGCAACCGCAUCCAGGGAGCUUCCCCUCAAGCAGCACGAGGCUUGAUGCCAUCAACAAAAAUGGCCUAUUUGAAGGCUGGAUCUCAGUUUUGCGGUUAAUUCUUUCUCGAAAUACAUUGUUAAUUUUUUUUUGUCGCUGGCAAGACUGAUCGUGCCCCUGAAUGUCGCAUGCCGUACCAUUUGCACCAUUAUGCAUGAAUGUUGGCCUUCCAUGCCCACUUCACUGGGCCUCUCAUCCGACAAAGCCAAAUUAAUACUAAAAAGCUGCUGCCAUGCAUCAACUAAUCCUCCAGCUGCCUCUCCAGUUUCAAGUUAAAGGUUUCUUGUUUCGUGUUGUUUAGUUUCUGUUUUGUCUUCUGAUAUUCUCGCCUGUCUACAUAAGUCUUGGAAUUUCUCUCAUAUUUUGCUAACUCUAUCAAUAAUGACCCUUAUUUGAAAUAAAAGUUAAUUCAUUGGUUAGUUGCACAAAGAUUGCUGAUUAUUUUAACUUAAAACUAUAUUUGCUUAUAUUUUAGGGAGAUUGCCAAUUUCCCCCCUACAGUAACUAAUAUAUACCAUUUUCCCCCCUGCUGUUUUUAUAAUGGCCAAAAACCCUCCUUGAUAGCAUAAGUUUAUAAUAUUACCCUUAUUUUCAACUACUCUUUUAUUUAUAUUUAUUAUAAAUUAAAUAAAUGACAUGAAUAGAAACUAAAUAAAAAAUUUAAGCAUUAAAAACAAGAAAUAUAUGUUUUAAUAUGAGAAAAAAAUUAAUAACAAAUUUUUUUUCUUUUACUUAUUUUGUAAAAAUUUUCUUAUAAUAAAUAUAUAAGAAAGUUAUUAUAAAAUGAUAAAAAAAUUAUUAUAAGAAAAUUUGAAUGACUAAUAAAAAUUUAUUAUAAGAUAAAUAAUAAAAUAUUUUGCCUAUACUUUUUACAUUUAAUUUUAAAAUAUUACAAAAUGUUUAUUAUAAGAAAAUGUUCACAAAAUAAAUAAUUACAAGAAAAAAUUUUAUUAUUAAUUUUUUCUCAUAUCAAAACAUAUAUUUCUUGUUUUUAAUACUUAAUUUUUUUAUUUAGUUGCUAUUCAUGUAAUUUAUUUAAUUUAUAAUAAAUAUAAAUAAAAGAGUAAUUAAAAAUAAAGGUAAUAUUGUAAACUUAUACUGUCAUGAGGUUUUUUACCAUUAUAAAAAUAACAGGAAGGUAAAUGAUAUAUGUUGAUUACUGUAGGGGGAAAAGGGACAAUCCCCCUAUAUUUUAAUAUAACGUGUGCAUUUAUGUGUGUAUAUAUAUAAGUAUCUUAGCUGCCACAUAUUUCUUUUACAAUCUAGUAGAACAUAGCUGUAAGUACCAUAAAGUUUGGUCACUUACACCAAGCCACGUGUCAAUAAAUACACUAUAGAUUUUGAGACUCUGGAUGUGCCCAGUACAAAUAGAUAAAGAAGAGAAAUAUAUUACUGCCAAAUGCCAAUAUAUUAUUGAGGCAGCUAAAUGGUAAGCGGAUUUGCUGCAGUGGAAGACCUGGGUAGCUUGGCGCUGAUAAAGAAGAAGAAAGCUUCAAGAGUUUGUGAAUGCGGAAGAGAAUAGGUUACAAGGUUAAUUGGUUGCAGACUUACGGGUGGUGGGGUUUCGUCAAGGCCAAGUUUAGGUGGUACAAUCUAUUAUUAUUACCUAUCACGAUUUGCAGCUCACGCACUUCUCAGGUGAUCAUAAUUCACGAGGAAAAGUGCUGGGAAUUUUUUACUUCUCACGCUAGGGAAGCCUGAUUUUAGGCCUUCUAUGUACAGAAGAAUUUCUCCUAUUCUAUAUAUGCAUAUUGAAAAGGAUUACUUGCAAGGAAGGCUUCUAGGGAAAGCCUAAUAUGUUCUUCAAAAGAUGACUGCAAUGAAGUUGUCACAUGUGAGUGUCUCAUUAGUAUGGAUAUUGUGACAGUGUUUCAAGGGCCAGAGAAAUAUUUGAUGAGCUGUCUAAAUCAGGGAAGGACAUGAAAAUUUCAACCCCUGAAUGCGAUGCUUGGGGCUUACUACAUCAACGGUUUGCCAAUGGAAACAGAUUUGGAGACUUGCAGUUCUUCUCUGGCUAUUUCACAAUCUGCAAGUGCCAAAACUGAUUCAAGCAGGUCACUGAGUACUGUAAAGACUGAGAUUGAAGAAAUAAAAAGACAACUUUACAUUCUUCUGAUUCCUUCCAAUCAAGCCUUAGCUAAAUUGAAAACAGAGUCCGUAUGGCAUGGGAAUGUUUGACAGGCUGGCUCCUGAAUAUUUUGCUGUUGAGCUGAUUUGUAGUUAAUAUCAUUAUCAAACAAUGUCAUUUCUAAUUCCACUCCAUCAUACGAGAAAUUGAACCUUCUAUGAAUUAUGAGAAUACAACCUCAAUUAAAUUAAUACUCUAUAAAUUAGUAUUUUAAUUGAAUAAUAAAUUUUGCUAGUCCCUAACUUAGGGUUAACUUACUAAAUUAUAGUUCGAUUAAUCAAUAAAUUUUUCUUGAUCCCAAAGCUAUUAUGGUUCUAGUUAUUUCUUAUUUUCAAGUCUUUGGUCUCAAUAGUCAAUACCCACAUUCUAACAAACGAAGUGGCAAAACAGCUCCGAUUCUUCAACUAGAUUCUGAAUAAUCACAGACUCACAGUUUGUUGCUUUUUAUGAUGUCCAUGAGAAUUCAAUUUUUAUGUCAGGUUACGGCAUGAAACUGACUUAAUAAAUCACUUAAUUUUAAUAAAAUGUAACCACUCAAUUCCCAUAUGUAACAUUAAUGGAGGUAAUUGUAACUGCUAAUAAUGUCACGAGUCAUUAACAGCUGACAGAAGAAAAGUUCACUUAUCUUAAUUUGAAAGUUUUCUUGCACAAGAAACGAAUUUCUGAAUUUCAAUCACAAUACAUGAUUCUUCCUCGUGUAAUUUAUAAAUGAACUGUAUUUACCCACAUGCACACGUAGUGACGUAGUUUAACUUAAUUUGAUUGCUUAUGCAAAUUUUGGGGUUUUGACCCAAUAGUCUUGUCCGAUUGAUAAUGUAAUAACUUUUUGGGGGGAUACUUUAGGGGCUCUUUACAAGCCUUUGGUUCUCUUGCUAUUUCUUUCAUUUGAAUAACAAGCACAUUUCCAACUAUGAAACCAAUUUUACUGUCAUAAAGUUAUUCUCAAAAGUAAAAAUAAACCCUAUUUGGAUUUAAUUAAUUAUUGAGGGUUCUUAAGUACAAAAUUUGCAACCAUCCAUCAAUUGCCAUGUUAUAAAACAGAUUCAGAAAAGUUUAUAAAUGGAGAUCGGAAAACAUUAUAUAUUAUCAGUCUGUUUUUUAGCGUACGUCGUCAAAAUAGACUUAUUAGUCUAUAUCGUGUAAUUCAGUCUCUUGAUUUUGCAUUACUACAAUUCCAUUCUGAUUUUUAGUGUGAGCCAUAUUGUAUUCUAUAUGAGCAGAAUUUAACACGACAUGAAACCAAUUUAAACUAGAUAAUCAUCUCCACACAAGAAACCAUAGAUCAAGAGGCAAGACUUCCAUAAAAAAAACACGAAAAAUAAAGCAAAGCUAGAACUAAAAAACCCUUUUAUUUAUUUAAAAUUGCAUUUACUAAAUUAACACCAUGGAAAUAGAAGUGCCAUUGAUGCACCUUGUCUAAGUCAAAACCUUGGAAACCUGAGGCUGAUAUAUCACCGCGGGGCCACCUGGAGAAGGAGCAGAAGAUGCAUCACAGUAGCCUCUCAAUAUGUUCCCUUCUUCGGCAGUGAAUCCGAGGGAGGUGAGCAUGGUAGGCCAGCAAUUACGGGUGAUGAUAUCAAUAGCGCGGCAACAGUCAGGGCCAAUAUCAGCCUGGCCAUUAAGGAAGAAUAUAAUAAUCUCAUUUGAGCAGGAUUUCAGCUCCAUUAAUGCGUUCCAGCACUCCGUUAGACUUCCGCUAGCUUCAAGUCUUGUUGCAAGAUUGUAGCCUAGUUUCAUAUUGUUGUUGAGGUGAUCAUUCCUGCUAGUUGCAUUUGCAAUAUUUGCCAUAAUCAGACAAGUGAGGGCCAAAAUGAAAAACGCAUGCUUUAGAGCCAUUGCCAUUUUUUGUUCUUUUGUGUUGUGUUUAUGUUCAUGUGGGAUAUCAUAUUUUUUGUUGCUAUUUAUAAAUUAAGGUGAGGAAGAGGAGAAGACUGAUUAAAAAUGUUGAUAAAUUAUUGCGUAAUUUAUGAUCAAGAAUAAUUUUAAUUAGAGAAGAUAGUGGGUCUUUUGAUAAAUGGUUACAAAUUGAUUGUGUAAUAAUAGUCAAAUUAAUUAUGAGAUCUUAAGAGAAGAUGAAAAGCCAAAUUUGAAAUCUCUAUACAACUUCAAUACAUUGAUGCUAUUUAUAUACUAAUUAUUGGGAGAUUUAGCUGUUGGGUUACCCUAGAGCUGUUGAAAUCAGCUCAUUUCAGAUCAUAAUUCUACAAUAAGUACAUUUCAAUGUGACUAAGAAGCUGUAGCAUCGUCAGUUUUGCUCAAUGACUAAAGAUAUAUAGAUGCUGAAUUUAGAGCGCAAAUGGUUUCUAUCUCAGGUGCUAUAUAGUAGGAAGUCCCAUUGAGUAACUUGACUUGCAAGCAUGACAAAAUGCUAGACAGAGACUUACUUAUAAAGAUAUAUAUAUUUUAAUGCUUAAACAAGGCGGUCAGAGUCAAUUUAUGAUGAUGCGUAGAAGAAUUUAAAUGCAAGCUACUCUGAAUUCAGAUUGAUGAACUUUUACAUAUUGAGUUUCAUUUACAAAGUUGGCUGACUAUAGAAUAACAUUGCUCCAACAUACAAGACAUUUAUCAAUUUUUAACUUUUUAAUAGAACUUCUCUAAAGUAAUAAUAAUAAUAAUAACUCAAGGUGUUUUUGUGUAUUAGAGUUGGUUGAAUUUCUCAUGAAACAGCCCGUUUAGACGCAAUUUCCUUUUGGAAAGAUGUAAUUGAUGAAUUGGUUCUGUUUAUGAUCUGUAUCAGUACAAAAUCCCAUCAUUUUCACCUCAAAACUUUUUGUUAGGCAAUUGAACCGCGCGAUCAUAACGCUCAUUAAUCACAUGAAUCUUUACUUCGAAGUCAUUUCUCCAUUUUGAUAAUUAAUAUAGCGUAUGUAAUUGCACGCGACUAUCAUUUUUUUAAAUUAAUCACGUUAUUUUUUUAUUCCCAUACGAAGGAUUUCAACCAAGAGAUAUUAUCAACUCUCUUAAAACAAAAAUAACACAUUGCGCACUUUAAUUUAACUUGGAAGAAGAUUAAAAGAAAAACUUUAUUUAAUUAAAAAAACUUUAGUUCUUUUUUUUGGGGGGGGGGGGGGGGUGGGAUGCUGGGGAAUCUCCGGUCAAUUUGAUACGACAACAAAUAAUUAAGACGCUCCUUCGAUUUGAAGCUUAGGCGUUUCUUGACUAUAAUUGGCUUCUGUGGUUUCCGCUGCAGGCGGUGCCCAUUUGCAUCCCUAUCCCCCGUGCUUACUAUUGACGAUUUGUCGUCUUAUAAAAACUCUUAAAGCUACAUGUCUGUUUUAUUUUUGGUAAAAGGAGGUAAGGCAUGUUGAUAGGCUCGUUCUUUUACCAAAAAAAAAAAAAGAGGUAAGGCAUGGAAAAAGCAACUGAAUUGGAACCAUUUUUCCAGUGAUUGAUUAUUUGCUUAUUCAAGAGGUUUUUGAUUAGUAUAUUGCCUUUAUGUUUACGAGAAAUAUGUUACUGCCAAAUGCGAAUAUAUUAUUGAGGCAGCUAAAUGGUAAGCAGAUUCGCCGCGGUGGAAGACUUGGGUAGCUUGGCGCCGAUAAAGAAGAAGAAAGCUUCAAGAGUUUAUGAAUGCAGUUACAAGGUUAAUUGGUUGCAGACUUACGGGUGGUGGGGUUUCGUCAAGGUCAAGUUUAGGUGGUACAAUCUAUUAUUACCUAUCUCGAUUUGCAGCUCAUGCACUUCUCAGGUAAUCAUAAUUCACAAGGAAAAGUGCUGGCCAUUUCCUACUUCUCACGCUAGGGAAGCCUGAUUUUAGACCUUCUAUGUACAGAAGAAUUUCUCCUAUUCUAUAUAUGCAUAUUGAAAAGGAUUACUUGCAAGGAAGGCUUCUAGGGAAAGCCUAAUAUGUUCUUCAAAAGAUGACUGCAAUGAAGUUGUCACAUGUGAGUGUCUCAUUAGUAUGGAUAUUGUGACAGUGUUUCAAGGGCCAGAGAAAUAUUUGAUGAGCUGUCUAAAUCAGGGAAGGACAUGAAAGUUUCAACCCCUGAAUGCGAUGCUUGAGGCUUACUACAUCAACGGUUUGCCAAUGGAAGCAGAUUUGGAGACUUGCAGUUCUUCUCUGGCUAUUUCACAAUCUGCAAGUGCCAAAACUGAUUCGAGCAGGUCGCUGACUACUGCAAAGACUGAAAUUGAAGAAAUAAAAAGACUUAAUUUUACAUUCUUCUGAUUCCUUCAUAUCAAGCCUUGCUAGAUUCAAAACAGAGUCCGUAUGGCAUGGGGAUGGUUGACAGGCUGGCUCCUGAAUAUUUUGCUGUUCAGCUGAUUUGUAGUUAAUAUCACAUUAUCAAACAAUGUCAUUUCUAAUUCCACUCCAUACGAGAAAUUGAACCUUCUAUAUAUUAUGAGAAUACAACGUCAAUUAAAUUAAUAUUCGAUAAAAUAAUAUUUUGAUUGAAUAAUAAGUUUUGCUAGUCCUGACUUAGGGUUUACUUACUAAAUUAUAAUUGGAUUAAUUAAUAUUAGCUUAAUCAAUAAAUUUUUCUUGAUCCCAAUGCUAUUAAGGCUCUGGUUAUUUCUUAUCUUCAAGUCUUGGUCUCAAUAGUCAAUACCCACAUUCUAACAAACGAAGUGGCAAAACAGCUCCGUUUCUUCUACUAGAUUCUGAAUAAUCACAGACCCACAGUUUGUUGCUUUUUGUGAUGUCCAUGAGAAUUCAAUUUUUAUGUCAGGUUACGGCAUGAAACUGACUUAAUAAAUCACUUAAUUUUAAUAAAAUGCAACCACUCAAUUCCCAUAUGUAACAUUAAUGGAGGUAAUUGUAACUGCUAAUAAUGUCACGAGUCAUUAACAGCUGACAGAAGAAAAGUUCACUUAUCUUAAUUUGAAAGUUUUCUUGCACAAGAAACGAAUUUCUAAAUUUCAAUAACAAUACAUGAUUCUUCCUUGUGUAAUUUAUAAAUGAACUGUAUUUACCCACAUGCACACGUAGUGACGUAGUGUAAUUUAAUUUGAUUGAUUAAGCAAAUUUUGGGGAUUUAAGCCAAUAGUCUUGUCCGAUUGAUAAUGUAAUAACUUUUUGGGGGGAUACUUUAGGGGCUCUUUACAAGCCUUUGGUUCUCCUGCUAUUUCUUUCAUUUGAAUGACAAGCACAUUUCCAACUCUGAAACCAAUUUUACUAUCAUAAAGUUAUUCUGAAAAAUAAAAAUGAACCCUAUUUGGAUUUAAUUAAUUAUUGAGGGUACAAAAUUUGCAACCAUCCGUCAAUUGCCAUGUUAUAAUACAUAUUCAGAAAAGUUUAUAAAUAGAGAGAUUGGAAAACGUUAUAUAUUAUCAGUCUGAUUUUCAACGUACGUUGUCAAAAUAGACUUAUUAGUCUAUAUCGUGUAAUUCAGUCUCUUGAUUUUGCAUUACUACAAUUCCAUUCUGAUUUUUAGUGUGAGCCAUAUUGUAUUCUAUAUGAGCAGAAUUUAACACGACACGAAACCAAUUUAAACUAGAUAAUCAUCUCCACACAAGAAACCGUAGAUCAAGAGGCAAGACUUCCAUAAUAAACAUGAAAAAGUAAAGCAAAGCUAGAACCAAAAAGACUAUUUUAAUUAUUUAAAUUUGCAUUAACUAAAUUAACACUAUGGAAAUAAAAGGGCCAUAGAUGCACUUUAUCUAAACCAAAACCUUGGAAACCUGAGGCUCAUAUGUCACCUCGGGGCCACCUGGAGAAGGAGCAGAAGAUGCAUCACAGUAGCCUCUUAGUAGGUUCCUUUCUUCGGCAGUGAAUCCGAGGGAGGUGAGCAUGGUAGGCCAGCAAUUACGGGUGAUGAUGUCAAUAGUGCGGCAACAGUCAGGGCCAAUAUCAGCCUGGCCAUUAAGGAAGAAUAUAAUAAUCUCAUUUGAGCAUAAUUUCAGCUCCAUUAACGCGUUCCAGCACUCUGUUAGGCUUCUGCUAUCUUCAAGUCUUGCUGCAAGAUUGUUGCCUGGUUUUAUAUUGUUGUUGAGAUUAUCAUUCCUGCUGGUUGCAUUUGCAAUAUUUGUCAUGAUCAGGCAAGUAAGGGCCAAAAUGAAAAACACAUGCUUUAGAGUCAUUGCCAUUUUUCUUUUUCUUUUUUUUGUUGUGUUUAUGUUCAUGUGGGAUAUCAUAUUUUUUGUUGCUAUUUAUAAAUUAAGGUGAGGCAGAAGAGAAGACUAAUUAAAAAUGUUUAUAAAUUAUUGCUGAAUUUAUGAUCAAGAAGGUUUUAAUUAGAGAAGAUAGUGGGUCUUUUGAUGAAUUGUUACAUAUUGAUUGUGUAAUAACAAUUAAAUUAAUUAUGAGAUCUUGAGAGAAGAUGAAGAGUCAAAUCUGAAAUCUCUAUACAACUUUAAUACAUUGAUGCUAUUUAUAUACUAAUUAUUGGGAGAUUUUGCCUGUUGGGUUACUCCAGAGGCGUUGAAAUCAGCUCAUUUCAGAUUAUAAUUCUACAAAAUAAUUAAGUACAUAUCAAUGUGACUAAGAAGCUGUAGCAUUGUCAGUUUUGCUCAAUGACUAAAGACAUAUAGAUGCUGAACUUAGAGAGCAAAUGGCUUCAAUCGCAGCUGCUAUAUAUAGUAGGAAGUCCCAUUGAGUAACUUGACUUGCACGCAUGACAAAAUGCUAGGCAGAGACUUAUUUAUAAAGAUUUUUUUUAAUGCUUUCACAAGGCGGUCAGAGUCAAUUUAUGAUGAUGAGUAAAAGAAUUUAAAGGGUCCAGCUACAGUGCUUACGUGAUUUGAAAUCACGUUUUUUUGUCUUAUCUUAACUUGCCCUUAGAUUCCACAGAGAAAUAUCCAACGGCUUUGAACUAACCUAUGGUCAUAAAGUUGUUAACUGGUUACCGGCAUGACCAAGCCUUUGAAAAAAACAUGGGUUAGAAAUAUUAUCGGCGGCAUAUGGUUAAGGGGUUUGUGGUGGUGCUUGUUAGAUUUAUCCAGCCUUUUUAGAUAACAGAGAGAUCGUUCAGGAGCUGUACUGGAGGGGUUUUUAUAAGAUCAAAUCAUUGACGGAGAAUCAAAUGCUGGCGAUUGAAGGUGAAAGUGGAGAUUGAGGUAGGUUUUUAAUAAGAACUGCGGAGUUGGGGGUGUUAAUUAGCGUGCCUGUUAGUUUUUUUUGCAUAAAUUUAUAAUGGGCAUAUUGGGACUUUGAAAUUAUAAGGGUAUUCUCGAUUGUACAUGUCAUUGAUACUGUUUUUUCUUCCUAGAACAACUCCAUAGACCUCAACAGAGGUGUUCCUGCUUAUUCCUUGGUCUGACACAGUCAACAAACUUUGGCAUACUUUUGUCUCGUUAAAUAAUGAAAAUGUUGCUCUGUGGGCUGCUUUUCUUAUUUGUCAUAUCAGGGAAUUUAAAUAUGGUAUGCAAUCAUGCAGAUGUUUUGAAGUCAUGAUAAAAAUAAUAUGUGUUUGUCGGAACCUUCUUAUGUGGUAAUAUGAUUGCAAACUUGUCAUUCUUGGCUGUUGAAAUUUGCGCAGCUUCCACAUCGCUUGUCAUGGAGAAUAGAAAUACACUCUUCAUAUGCCCGGGAAUUAGUCAAGUAUGGCUUGUCUGCACAAAACCUUUUGAUUAAUCAUGUCAAUUUUAAAUAGAUUAGCUUUUAAUACAAAAUCACCCAUUACAUAUUAUUGCACAAGAUUUUGAUUUGCACCAGGUAUUUGGUCAGCAAAUGGCCAGAUUCACAAGGAAGUUUUUUUUGGGGAUCAUAAAACAGUGUUUUCUUCCUUCUUUGAAAUUAUGCAUUCGGAAUCGGAUACCCAUAAUAUAUGUGUAGGGAGUACUAGAUUUACGUACUUGGCUUAUGAUGAUAAAUUUUCCGUAAUGUAAUUUAGAUGGAUUGAUUUUAGUAGGCAUUUGAAUGUGUAUUGAGGCAAUCAUCGAAAUAGGCUUUGUUGUGUUUGCCUUUUAAACUAGCCUACUUGUGUCGAAAUAGCUUGUCCAAUGUAGAUAAUAUAGCAAUUGUCAGUAAUUACAUGGAAUUUUAAUUUGUAAUGGUUGUAUGAUAUGUAGUCUCAAAUCACUGAUUUAAAGCCACGAAAGAAGGUAAUACCAGUUUAAGCGAUAUUUAUGAUUUAUUUUACCGAAGGCAAGAAUGGAAUUGGGGACAGUUCGUAAGCGGAAGGCAUUCAAUUCUGAUAGUUUUAUUGAAACAAUGACUGUUGUCAAUGGUGAAGGAAAUGAACCCAACGCAAAAUAGUUAUGGAUUUGUCGACUUCUUAUAAGUUUGUGAAAUAAUGACAAAAAACUUUAUCGAUCAAUUAUUUCUUUGCAUAUCCAAGAUUGAAUCUGAUUUUUGCUAAAGGAGAGGUUUUGGUUGCAAUCUUUAAAUGUUUAUUGGGGAAGCGGUACAUGGGAUGAAGGCAGGGAAUGAAAGGGCAUGCAUUACAAGAGAGAUUAGUAAGUUGGAAGUGAUGUUUAUUUUAUUUUUUAUUUUGGUUGAAAUACAAUAUUUUAGGAAUGAUAUGUAAUAAUAUUCAUUGAAUUCUCGUAGGAUCGAAAAGAAAUAGGAUUGGAAUUUAAGAACCUACCUCCAAGCGGAAAAAUCAAAUAUAUAAGUCAGUCGCACAAAGUUGAGAAAGUUGCUGAUGAGGAGGCAAGAUUUAAGAUUCCUUUUGUGAUUGAAUAUUCCAAAUGCCUACAAUUUGGGCUACUUUUCUGUUUGUUGUAUCAGGGGAAUUCAAUGUGGCGUCAAAUCUUAUUUUGUAUGUUUUGAUACCAUAAUUACAGUUUCUGCACUGCCAUGAAUGUUGUGCGCGGGUUUAAUACUUAUAUCGUACUUGUCAUUGCUCUAUUUUAAUCUUGUUCUUAGACUACAUUGCUCAUGAAUCAUGAUGGUGCUUGGGUGAAUAAACUAAUUCUAUCCUCUAGACAGUUGUUGGGUUGUAAUGUUACUGAGGUAUAACUUUAUAUCCGUCUUUAGUAUCUAGAAAAAUAAGGAUUUGAUGCACUAAAUUACUCCACACUCCAUACGUAACUAUUUCUGUAAAUGUACUUGAUUUGACUGAUAAAUUUGCUUUUGCCUUAUGUGGUGCUGCAGUGACGUCAGAGCGGAUUAUUUUGGAAUGCUUUUCCCUCUAUACUUAGAUAAUCAUGUCCAACGCACACCAUUGUCUCCAACAUUUGAGUGGUCAUUUACAAGAGGCUUUUCUAUUGUCUAUAGAUGAUUCUUCAUUACACUAUUAAGUUUGGAGAAAGAAAUAAGGAAAAACAAUGAAAGAGUAAAAAGAUAAAGGAAGAAAGCAGAAUAACAAACUGAAAAUUGGUUAUUAUACAUGUAAAUUGAGUGACAACAAUUAUUAGAACUGAGUGACAGAGUGAACAAAAUUCCUUGAAGAAAAUGGGGGGCCCUUUUGAAGGUAAUAUGAUGAUCUAAUUAAAAAAAAAAAGACAAAAAAGAAUGAGUAAGUUAAAAUUAUGGUGCUUGGAACAAAAUGAGAUAAGUUAAGAUUAUGAUGCCUGAAACAAAAAGAUGCACCAUUCUAAAUAGCUUAACAUUAGAUAUAUGUUCAGUUCAAAAAUUGAUACUUGGUCUUUCCUGUAAUGUUGGAUAGUUUUUUCUCUUGGCUUCUGGAAAAACAGUGAGACAAAUUUCCCACAACAUUUCAUGAAUUGAAGUUUCUAUCACUCAGGAAGUAAGUACAAAAAACUGAUACCACAAUAAUCAUGAUGUUUCAUCAGUCAUGCAAAUCCCAAACAUAAACUAAAUUGUAGCAUUAUGACCAUGUACUGAACAAGAAGUAAAACUUGUAUGCUGAUAAAUUUUGCCAGUCCCUCACGAAGGUUAAUCCAAGAAACCUGCACUGUCCUUCCAUCUCUCUGCGCACCAAUAUGCUUAAGAUCAUUUGCGAUUCCCUCAACCGUUGGAAUCGCAACACCUUGAACACGUAAAAAGUCAGCCUAAUAGUAACCAUAGAAGAGACCCAUAAAAAAAAAAGACAAAAUAAAGGUAAUUAAACAAUUGUAGAAGGAUUCANNNNNNNNNNNNNNNNNNNNNNNNNNNNNNNNNNNNNNNNNNNNNNNNNNNNNNNNNNNNNNNNNNNNNNNNNNNNNNNNNNNNNNNNNNNNNNNNNNNNNNNNNNNNNNNNNNNNNNNNNNNNNNNNNNNNNNNNNNNNNNNNNNNNNNNNNNNNNNNNNNNNNNNNNNNNNNNNNNNNNNNNNNNNNNNNNNNNNNNNNNNNNNNNNNNNNNNNNNNNNNNNNNNNNNNNNNNNNNNNNNNNNNNNNNNNNNNNNNNNNNNNNNNNNNNNNNNNNNNNNNNNNNNNNNNNNNNNNNNNNNNNNNNNNNNNNNNNNNNNNNNNNNNNNNNNNNNNNNNNNNNNNNNNNNNNNNNNNNNNNNNNNNNNNNNNNNNNNNNNNNNNNNNNNNNNNNNNNNNNNNNNNNNNNNNNNNNNNNNNNNNNNNNNNNNNNNNNNNNNNNNNNNNNNNNNNNNNNNNNNNNNNNNNNNNNNNNNNNNNNNNNNNNNNNNNNNNNNNNNNNNNNNNNNNNNNNNNNNNNNNNNNNNNNNNNNNNNNNNNNNNNNNNNNNNNNNNNNNNNNNNNNNNNNNNNNNNNNNNNNNNNNNNNNNNNNNNNNNNNNNNNNNNNNNNNNNNNNNNNNNNNNNNNNNNNNNNNNNNNNNNNNNNNNNNNNNNNNNNNNNNNNNNNNNNNNNNNNNNNNNNNNNNNNNNNNNNNNNNNNNNNNNNNNNNNNNNNNNNNNNNNNNNNNNNNNNNNNNNNNNNNNNNNNNNNNNNNNNNNNNNNNNNNNNNNNNNNNNNNNNNNNNNNNNNNNNNNNNNNNNNNNNNNNNNNNNNNNNNNNNNNNNNNNNNNNNNNNNNNUACUUGUAUACUUUAAUUUGUCAUACAAAAGAAAAAAAAACACGGGAAAGUAAAUCAAUAAGAUUAAGGAAAUGCAAGAGAAUUCUAGAAAUUUUGAAGAAGAAAAUUCUGGAAACAAGAAUUGAGGAGAAUUGAAAGAAUAAAAGGAACAAACCUGGCGGUAAUUUGGAACGCCGUCGAUUUAAGGAGUCAAGCAUUUGUUUUGACAGCCAGGAAAAUGGUCGCUCACUCAUCUCCAGCCGCUGUUGCAGAUCACUAAAGCAAAUUGGACGGUUGAGAUUGCUCAAAUUGAGGAGAAGUACCAAAAGAGAAAGGGGAGAAGUUCAGAGCGCCAUCAGCAAACAGCCGACGGGAGUGGGAACAAGCAGAAGUAGACGCUGCUGUCAGUGCUAAUGAUAUUAACCCUAUUACAUAUGCUUUCCCUAAUUUCUUUCUUCCAUUUUUUCCACAAAAAAUUGGAGUUCUUUUCAACUUCGAACAUAAGUUGUUAAAUGGGAAUGCGACCAAAACAAAGGUUCUUACCCUUAACUAUAUAGGCAGUAAAUAAACUGAUUUAUUCAAGAAAUUAUUUUAUAACAUUACAUGUGAAUUUUGGUCCCAACGGAAAUUGGCAUGGAUGCAAAGAGUAGUUUCAGCGUAGACUUGCAUGUAACGGGUUGUUGCAUUCAAUAACGUGUUUGUUGUUUGCAACCAGUUACUUGUAACUGUGUAGCAGAUAAUUGUAAAAUUUUUGGUGACCGGCUCCUAACUUGUUCAUCAAGUCAUUGUAUGUGUAUCUUUUCAAUCCGUCAGAUUUUAUCCAACGGUGUCUUUGGUAAAAGACAAAAUUCCGUGAUUUGGAAUCACAAAUGCAACGUAGCCUUGUCCGAAUCUAAAUGCAAGCUACUCUGAAUUCAGAUUGAUGAACUGUUAGACAUUGAGUUUCAUUUACAAAGUUGGCUGACUAUAGAAUAGCAUUGCUCCAACAUACAAGACAUUUAUCAAUUUUUAACUUUUUAAUAGAAUUUCUCUAAAGUAAUAAUAAUAAUAAUAACUCAAGGUGCUUUUUGUGUAUUAGAGUUGGUUGAAUUUCCUUCUGGAAAUGUGUAAUUGAUGAAUUGAUUCUGUUGUGCACAGAAUGCGGAAUCAAGCGCACCAAAUAAUUAUAGAAAAAUAAAGGACAUAAGAAUUAUGUGGUUCGGUAAUUAAACCUACAUCCACGGAGGCAAGAAAGAAUAAUUAUUUAUUUAACAAUUAAUAGAGUACAAUAUUUGAGUAACGAAUCUCACUUCUCAGAAAUCCAAAUAUACUUAGUACUCUCACACUCUGCAGGAAAGAUAAAUUCCCCAAAUACACUUCUCUCACUUCUCUCAAAAGCUUAGAAACUUAUAAGCUUAACCAUUUUGGGAUGAUCUCAAAUGAAUGAAAUCCUUAGCUAUUUAUAGGAGAAAUGAAUUAUUAUGCUAAGAAUAAAAUAAUUAAAAAUAUAAUUUUUAAUUAUUAUUAUUUUUCAAAUCCAUCCCCCAUUCUUUCUUUUCGGCUUUACAAAAUCAACAAAUUGUUGGUGCACCAACAAUUUGUUGACUUCAACAAAUCUCCACCUCGGCAAAAAUUUUUCAAAUCUGAGUCGACUACCAACGAGCCAUCAUCCCCAAAGUGGCUGCAUCUCUAUGACUGCCUACGUACCCAAAAUUUGGGAUCAAACCAACCAUAGUUCAAAAUUCUCGAAGGACAUAUCUUAACACAAUCGAAGGAUUUGAAUUAAUUUCAAGCAAUGUUGAAACUUAACUCCAGAAACUACCUUCGUCAACAUAUCUAAUGGAUUAUCUUUGGUAUCGAUCUUUCUCAACAACACAACACUGCUCUCGAUAAUCUCUCUCACAUAAUGAUAUUUCACAUCUAUGUGCUUCGUUCGAGCGUGAUAUGUUUGAUUCUUCGCAAGGAAUAUCGCACUUUGAUUAUCACAGAAGACCGCAAUGUUCUCAUGGAUUACUCCCAAAUCACCUAACAAGCCUUUCAACCAGAUAGCUUCUUUUACAGCUUCAGUUGCUGCCAUAUACUCUGCUUCUGUAGUGGACAGAGCAAUUGUCGAUUGUAGAAUCAACCUCCAGCUAACCGGACCUCCACCCAAUGUGAAUACGUAGCCCGUUGUUGAUCUUCGCUUGUUAAGGUCUCCAGCGAAAUUAGAAUCACAAUACCCAACACAUUGUUGACCACAAUCCUUCUUGAACAAUAACCCAACAUCAACUGUCCCAUACAGAUAUCGGAGAAUCCACUUUACCACAAGCCAUUGAUUUUUACCCGAAUUGUGUUGUAUCUACUAACGAUGCUCACUGCUUGAGAUAUAUCGGGCCUUGUGCAUACCAUAGCAUACAUAAGACUACCCACAGCACUAGCAUGUGGAACACGAGCCAUGUAAUCGCGCUCCUCUUGAGAUCUAGGACAUGAAGAAGAGCUUAAUUUGAAAUGAGGAGCUAGAGGUGUACAUACCAGUUUAGUUUUGUCAUCCAUACCGAAUCUUUCUAGCACUUUCUUCAAAUAAUACUUUUCAGUCAACCAUACGCUCCCAUUCUUCUUGUCUCUACGAAUCUCCAUCUCAAGUAUUCUUUGUGCAUCACCCAAGUCUUUCAUCUCAAACUCAGAAGCCAACUACUUCUUUAAUCUUUCGAUCUCAUCUCUAUUCUUCGAAACUAUAAGCAUAUCAUUACAUGAAACACGAGCCAUGUAAUCGCGCUCAUCUUGAGAUCUAGGACAUGAAGAAAAGCUUAAUUUGAAAUGAGGAGCUAGAGGUGUACAUACCAGUUUAGUUUUGUCAUCCAUACCGAAUCUUUCUAGCACUUUCUUCAAAUAAUACUUUUGAGUCAACCAUACGCUCCCAUUCUUCUUGUCUCUACGAAUCUCCAUCCCAAGUAUUCUUUGUGCAUCACCCAAGUCUUUCAUCUCGAACUCAGAAGCCAGCUACUUCUUUAAUCUUUCGAUCUCAUCUCUAUUCUUCGAAGCUAUAAGCAUAUCAUCGACAUAGAGUAACAAAUAAAUGAAAGCUCCAUCUGGUAGUCUUCUAAAGUAAACACAAUGAUCGUGUUCACUUUUGAUGAAUUUCUGCCCUUGUAUAAAUUGAUCAAAUCUUUUGUACCACUGCCUUAGGCGAUUGCUUCAGUCCGUACAAAGAUUUAAUCAACCUACACACAUGAUUCUCCUUUCCAGCAACUCUGAAACCACAAGGCUGAAUCAUAUAGAUUUCCUCCUCCAAAUCUCUAUGUAAGAACGCCGUCUUAAUAUCCAAUUGAGCCAACUCUAACUCAUAUUCUGCAACUAAGGCAAGUAGGAUACGAAUGGAAGUAUGUUUUACAACUGGAGAGAAAACUUCAUUGUAGUCAAUACCUUCCUUCUGAGCAAAACCUUUUGCCACGAGUCUUGCCUUGUAUCGAGAAGUUGAUUGAUUCGGAGAUCCUUGCUUUUUGGUGUAGACUCAUUUAUUGCCAAUAGCCCUUUUCCCUUUUGGUAACUUUACAAGUUCCCAAGUCUGAUUUUGAUAGAGAGAUUUUAUCUCUUCCUCCAUGGCUAACUUCCACUGAUCACUUUCACUGCUGCGUAAUGCUUCACCGAAAGUGUUGGGGAUGUCAUCAUCAAUAACUGGAAGUGCAUAGGCUACCACCAUAUCUUUAGUAAGCCAUCCGGGUUUCUUUAUCUCUCUUCUUGACCUACUUGUUGCUAUAAAAUCAUCAUUAUCUACUUCAUCAAUUGUUUCUUCAUUUUGUGGGACAUCAGAAAAAACAACCUCUUCUUCAACUCUAGGUGUCACCUCUAUAGUUGAACUCUUCUUUGAUGUAGAAUUAACUGGUACAUAUGGAGUUGCAUUAAACUCCACCCGCUGCAAUACCUCUUUGGUCUUGUUCUCCAUCUGCUGAGAACUUGAAGCUUUCAUCAUUGAAGUUUCAUUAAAUGUGACAUCUCUGCUACACACAAACUUUUUGUCUUUGAGAUCCCAAAACUUGAAGCCUUUUACUACACCUUUGAAUCCCACAAAGAUAGCUUUUCUAACACGAGGAUCCAGUUUACCAUCUUUGACAUGAUAAUAAGCUGGACACCCGAAUACACGAAGGGAAUCAUAGUCUUGUGCAUACUUUCCAGACCACAUUUCCAUAGGAGUUUUACCUCCAAUUGCAGCAGAAGGCAACCGGUUUACCAAGUGACUUGCGUAGCUUACAGCUUCAGCCCAAAACUUUUUAUCUAAACCAGCAUUAGAUAAUAUACACUGUACCUUCUCCAGUAAAGUACGAUUCAUACGCUCAGCCACACCGUUCUGUUGCGGAGUAUGUCUCACCGUGAAAUGUCUUUUAAUACCCUCGUUCUGGCAUACUUGCAAGAAUGGAUCAGAAGUAUAUUCACCCCCAUUAUCAGAUCGUAAUACUUUGAUCUUUCUGCCAGUUUGAGUCUCUAUUAAUUUCUUCUAUUUCACGAAAAUCUCUAGAACCUCAUCAUUUGCUCACAUGGUGUACACCCACACACGUCUAGAGAAAUCAUCAACAAAUGUAACAAAAUAAAGGCUUCCACCAAUUGAUGCAGUCUUGGUUGGUCCCCAUACAUCACUAUGAACAUAUUCAAGGAUCUCAUGAGUAUCGUGAUUAGCUGUACCAAACUUGAUCCUUGUUUUCUUGCCUGCUACACAAUGCUCACAGAAAUUUAAUUUACAGGUUUUGGUACCUUUUAAGAGUCCAUGUCUCAUCAGAAUUUGUAAAGACUUCUCUCCAGCAUGUCCCAGUCGUACAUGCCAUAGCUUGGUGGUGUCACUGUGCGCCUCAACAACAUUUGCUUCAUCAGUUGUACCUCCCUUCAAAUAGUACAGAUUGUGACGCCGAACCCCUUGCAGAAUCAACAUAGCCCCAUGUGUAAACUUCAUUGUGUCAUCUUCAAUGGUAGCUUUGUAGCCUUUAGCUUCCAAAGCACCCACAGAAAUUAGAUUUUUCUUUAAAGUUGGAACAAAUCUAACCUCUUUGAGUUCUCUGACCAUUCCAUCAAACAUUUUGAGCCGAAUUGUUCCUAUCCCCAUUGUGCUACAAGGUUGAUCAUUCCCCAUUACAACUGUACCGGAUUAUAAAUUACGAAAAUCCGUAAACCAUUCCAUAAUAUGACACAAAUGAUAGGUUGCUCCAGUAUCAAGUAUCCACUCGCUCGAACUAGCCACGUAUGCUACAGGAGUAAUACUUAGUGAAUAAUCAGAACACCUCAUCUUUCUGUGCCAUGUUUGCUGCUGCUGGUUUCUUCACAUCUCUCUUUUGAGCCUUUGGACAAUCUUUCCUCCAAUGGCCCUUUUCAUGACAAAAGGCACACUCAUCUCGAGCUAUAUUUCUGCUUCUCGAUUUGGAUCGAGAAUUCUUUCCACCACGCUUCUUCUGUUUCUCCAUCGCCCAAUCUCUACUCACCAAAAGCUUCAGACGGUGCUCGUUCAAAAUUUUUAUCAUUAUUCCGAAUCUCUAAGCUAGUCAAUGCUGUGCAAACAUCUUUAAAGACGAUCACACUCUUCCCAUAUAUCAAAGUAGUCACAAAAUGGCUAUAUUCCUCUGGUAGUGAGUGUAACAUAAUCAUAGACCUGGACUUCAUCCUUAAUAUCUUCAUCAAGAUUCUUCAAAUCAGCAAGUAACUUUUCAAAUCUUGAAACAUGAUCGUGCAUUGACACCCCGGGCUUCAUUCGAAAACCAUAUACUUGGCUCAUUGCAUGAAGGCGAUUUUUAGAACUUUUCACCAGGUACUUCUCCUCCAAUGUACGCCACAAAGUCACCGCACACUCCUCAUCUUUCACCAAGUAUUUUACCUCCUUGGUCAAACAAGAUCUGAUCUGACCACAAGCUUUCUCAUUCAUACGAUCCCAAAUUUCUUCAUUAUACAAGUGUCUUUUAUUUUUCAGAACAACAUUGAGAUCGAUUUGAAUAAGGGCAUCCAUAACUUCGCGCCUCCACAUGCUGAAGUUGAUUUUCCCAUCAAACUUUUCAACAUCGAUCUUCUGGCCUCCUAUAACAGGUACUGAAUAACGAUUUGACAAAUCUCACCUCCCACCUGAAGUGUCUCCUGAAAAAGUCUCGGUAGAUCUCUCCCCAAUUCUGGAAGUUUCACCUUCUACCAUUUUCUCAACGAACUAUUUUCACUUGAAAAACAGUCUCUCUGAUGUUAAUUUCGCGUGAAUAAAUGCACCAGGAAAGUUCCCAGGAGACUGGACGGGAACUCGGUCCCAAUUAAAAACCAGAAUCCUUAGACUCUUAUCGCCUUUGUUGACAGAACUUUCCUAGACAUGCAAAAAUACACACUACUUACAAUAAACUGUCUCCCAAGUACAAAUGGCCAUCUCCACCGUAUUCGUAAACAGUAUCGUAUGUGAACAGCACCGUAUACGGGAAUAGUACCGUAUACGUGAACAGUACCGUAUCCCCCCAAGUACGAACCUUCGGUUCUGAUAUCACUUGUUGUGCGCGGAAUGCUGAAUCAAGCGCACCAAAUAAUUAUAGAAAAACAAAGGACACAAGAAUUACGUGGUUCGGUAAUUAAACCUACAUCCACGGAGUCAAGAAAGAAUAAUUGUUUAUUUAACAAUUAAUAGAGUACAAUAUUUGAGUAACGCAUCUUACUUCCCAGAAACCCAAAUAUACUCAGUACUCUCACACUCUGCAGGAAAGAUAAAUUCCUCAGACACACUUCUCUCACUUCUCUCAAAAGCUUAGAAACUUAUAAGCUUAACAAUUUUGGGAUGAUCUCAAAUGAAUGAAAUCCUUAGCUAUUUAUAGGAGAAAUGAAUUACUAUGCUAAGAAUAAAAUAAUUAAAAAUAUAAUUUUUAAUUAUUAUUAUUUUUCAAAUCCAUCCCCCAUUUUCUUUUCGGCUUUACAAAAUCAACAAAUUGUUGGUGCACCAACAAUUUGUUGACUUCAACAAAUUUGCACCAACAAUUUAUUGACUUCAACAGAUUCUAUAUAUGAUCUGCGUCGGUACAAAAUCCCAUCAUUUUCUCCUGAAAAAUUUUUUUUUAGGCAAUUCAACCACGUGAUCAUAACCCUCAUUAAUCACAUGAACCUUUACUUCAAAGUCAUACCUCCGUUUUGAUAAUUAAUGUAGCGUAUGCAAUUGCACCCGACUAUCAUUUUUUUUAAUUAAUCAAAUUAUUAUUAUUUUUUAUUCCCAUGCGAAGGAUUUCAACCAAGAGAUAUUAUUAACUCUCUUAAAACAAAAAUAACACAUUGCGCACUUUAAUUUAAUUUGGAAGAAGAUUAAAAGAAAAACUUCAAUUUAAUUAAAAAUAACUUUAGUUCUUUUUUUUUUUUUUUGGAUGAAAAAAUCUUCGGUCAAUUUGAUACGACAACAAAUAAUUAAGACGCUCCUUCGAUUUGAAGCUUAGGCAUUUCUUGACUAUAACUGGCUUCUGUGGUUUCCUUAUGAGCUGUAAACAUGACUCUUCAAUUUUUUUUUUUUUAAGUUAUAGUCUCAUUACAACUGUAAACACUUAAUAUUUAUUUUUAGUACAAGGUUUUUUUUUUUCACUCCAAAUUCUAUUCUAAACAUCCUUUUACUUUGUACACUCUUUCAAUAAAUUUUGAAAUUUUUUCUCUACAUACUCUUUCAAAUACCAAAACAUUCCUCAAAAGUUAAUAAUAAAAUAUUUUUCUUGUACGUUUUGUUAUUUUUAAAAAAUUUCUUAUAAUAAAUAUAUUUUAAAUAUUCAAAAUAAAUUAUUAAGUAAAUUACCCAUUUAUCCCUCUUUUCUUUUAAAUUUUUGGACUUUUGGUAUCAUGAGAGUUUUUGGAUAUUAUAAAAAUAGUAAGGAGUCCAAUCUAUAUUGUUAAUUGAAGUGUUCAAUCAAUAGUAAGAAGUUACUAAUUUCUAUUUCUCUUGGAAUUGCUUUUUUAUUUUUUCUUUCUUUUUCUUUUUCAAUAUUGCUAUUAGUUUUUUCUCCAUGAGUAAAUUUUUGAAUUUUUGUAGUUGGCAACUCUAUUUGUUCUAAGGUUAGCAAAAUUUGAAUCUGGAUCCAGAUUUAUAUUUCUAUAUCUGGAUCCGUAUUCGGAUCUGCAACAAAAAAGAUACAGAUCCGGAUACGGGUAAUAUCCGCAACGGAUGUGGGCGUUUAUUCCGGAUAUCAGGAUCCGCAAAAAUUAAAAUUUAAUAACAUAAUAUAUAAUGUAAAAAUUCAAAUAAUUUGCCUAAUAAUAUCAAAUAAAAUCCAAUCAUAAUUUAACAAUUAAUCAUUCAACAUGAAUAACAUCCAAUAAUCUCAUAAAUCUACAAAUAAAAAUUAUUUUUUAUUUAAUUUUUAAUAUAUAUUUUUAAUUUAAAAUAAAAUUCAAUAAUUUACCUAAUAAUAUAAAAUAAAAUUCAAUCAUAAUCCAAGAAUUAAUAAUUCAACAUGAAUAAUAUACAACAACAUCAUAAAUCUACAAAUAAAAUUUAUUUUUAAUUUUUUAUCUAAUUUUUAAUAUAUAUUUUUAAUUAAAAAUAAAAUUCAAUAAUUUACCUAAUAAUAUCAAAUAAAAUUCAAUCAUAAUCCAACAAUUAAUAAUUCAACAUGAAUAAUGUACAACAACAUCAUAAAUCCACACAUAAAAUUUAUUUUUUAAUUUUUCAUUUAAUUUUUAAUAUAUAUUUUAAUAUGAUUUUUAAUUUAAAAUAAAAUUUAUCCGGAUCGGAUAUUCAGUUUUCAGGAUGCACUUGCCUCUGGAUUCGAAUCCGUGCGGAUCUCAAAUUGUCAUAUUCGGAUCCAGGCUGGAUCCGAAUUUAAUUGCUAUCCCUAAUUUGUUCUUAAGUAUUUUUUUUGUUUUCGAUGAUGAAAUAGAUUUAAUGGUGAGGAAAUUUUAGGUUUAUCACAGGAUAAUUGGAUUCAAUUGGAGUAUUCUAUUAACUUAAAUUAAAUUAUCUUUAUUAAAAAAUUAUAAGAGGAAUAUUUAUUAUAAAGUAUUUUUAUCAAAAUUGAAGUGUUCAGAGUCAAUUUAAAGUACAAAUAACCUACCCCUAUUUUUCUCACAUUGGUCUUUUAUAAGUUUUUAAUACAUCUUAUUGUUAAAGGUGUUAAAACAUUGGAUUAAAAAACACACACACACACGCCAAACAAAAGAAAAAUGUGACUAUUCUAAGUAAAAAUUUGUUAGGGUCAUGCCUAGUGCUUCGCCACUUCAUCGAUCUCCUACAAAUUAAACAAUAAGCCGUAUCAUUGUAAAUCCCUUCAUCUUCUCGUCAAACAUUUCUUCUUAGAAAAUUAAUUAAAUCACAAAUGAUGUGAUAAUAAGUCUAAUCACAUUUUGCCCACAGGACCAUGAUUGAGUGGCUGUUAAAUAAUUUUAUUUGGCUGUUCACAGCCCAUCGGAAGGGGAUUAUCUACAGCUUUUAAGCCUAUUUGCAUGGGCCAUGCACAGAUUUACGUUCAGUAAUCCAUCGGCCUUUCACUUUGACAGGUCUAGAGCUUAAAUCCUAAGGAAGUAAUAGGUUGUAUUAAAAAAAGAAGAAGGAAGUAAUAGGUUAAAAAAAUUAUUUCAACUUUGCCAACCCCUAUAUUUUAACCCCCCCCCCCCCAAAUCAAAAGAUAAUAAUAAAAAAACUCUAAUCACGUCUUAAUUAAUUAAAUGUUUCCCUCCCUCGGCUUAUCGCAUGAGCAGGCAACAUGCAUGCUAAAAAGCCUACUGUGAAUUUGUAAUUUAUCUUCUACAUUUCCGGCUGUCUAAUUUAAUUAAAUGCAAGGCUCCGGUUAAUUAAUUUCCAGCUAUGUGGUAACUGUUUUACAAUCUUCUGGUCUUUGGAUAUGAUGAUUGAUGGGUCUCUGUAUGUGCCAUAACUUAGAGGCACCAAAUUACACCAAAUGUCCAAAUAAAAAAGAAAGAAAGAAACUAUCCUGAAAUAUCAAAUAAGUAAGUAAAUUAUAUCCAAUUUAUUUCGGAGAAAGUAACACUAGAAUAAAAUUUCCCUGGAACUUACGAUAAUAACUAAGAGUAAAAACUCAUUCUAAUUUCGGGAUUCCGGGGUCUGAGGGAACCAUAACUAAUUCUGGGAUUCGGGGUCUGAAAGAAUCACACCUAAGAUCAUAAAAGUAAGGAAGCACAUGAGCACAGAAUAAAUGACGUAGGUCCGGGAUAAACAUAUUUAUUUUCCUACGAACAAAUUCACGUCCACGUGUGCAAUAAUAGUGGGUGGCACGGAUCAUCAAGGAGAGAGAUCAAGGCUAAACCCUAGACCCAUGUCAUCCAUCAACUAUUAAUAGGGACCAUCUCACCAAAAAAAACCCUAAUCUUAUUUAUUAUUCUCACUUCCAUUAAAUCUAAAAAUCAAACACUGACUUGGGCAUCGGAGUGCCUUUUCCAGGUACCAAGUGUCACAAGUUCUCCACAAAUCAAAAGUACGUGUGAAGGUAAAUUUCUGCUGCCUUCAUUGGCGCCUUCUGUGGGGAUCGAACCCACGACCACGUGGGUACUUUAGACUUUAAUAGCCUGGAAGCUUGUACUUUACUUAAAUCUACAGCCGGAACAGUUGUACUUCCCUCGAAAGCUCCUAUAGCAGUAGGAACUACUUCCUCCACAACCACGCCCUGCUUUCCGCACUCAGCAUUCCCUGAAGGAGAAGUUUGGCUGGAGAAAGUAGCAACACAAUUAAAACAAAACAUGAAGUCAGGUAAGAAUAAAUGGAAAAAUCAAUAACAAAAGGAAAAGUCAUAAAAAUCCAACACGUACCAUCGUUCCUCAGUUUUUGAUUUUUUCCUACACGAGCAUUGUUAUCCUCUCUGUCAUCGGAAAAAGCUUCCUUACUCAAGCAUCUCUUAGAUAAAAUUUCCUUGCCACCACUCCUAUGGUCCUUUUUCGUCACUACUCCUUUGGUGGAUCAAAAAAGAUAUUCAUCAUGAUUUUCUGAAAACCAAAAAAGUAUUAAGAAAAUAACAUAUAUAUAUAUAUAUGUGUGUGUGUGUGUGUGUGUGUGUGUGUCUUCAUAAAAUAACAACAUAAGCAAGAGCAAAGGAACUUAUAUACUAUCAGAUUCCAACUCAUUAGAAUCAGUUGGAAGAAGAACUUUGCUUAGCCCCUUCUUUUGCACCCCUUUUGAAGGAUCAGAAUAUUUCUCCUUUUGUAGACCAACAUUUCCAAGUUUCUCGCUAUGAAUUUUUUAUGUAGGAUUAGUCAUUGUCUUCCUACACCCAAAUGAAGCCCCUCGGAUGGGAACAUCACAUUUCUUCAUAGAUCGCUUCCUAGCAACUUCACUAGCUUCACUACUUUGUCUCUCAAUAGGAAUCUUCUCCCUAAGCUUUGCCUUCUUUUUAUUAACCUUCCUUGGAAUAUACAAUUCCUUAGACCCAUAGGGAGGAGACCUUGGGCUCGAUAUAGGCGCCUUGUCCCCUAAGUCAAUAGGAAUCCCAUCCGAAAGAGGAAUGUUAGGAUUCUCAUCCUCGCCAGCCACAUAUAAGUCAAGUAUUGUCCUCGCAUCCUCAUUUAUUUCAUCAUAAUCGGAAAGGCGGGCAAGCCCAAGGGGGAAAACAAUGUAACCUCCUCUCAAACACAAGCUAUCAAUAUGACGAACAUAGUUAAAUCGAUCAACGCGUCUCAAACAAUGACGCGAAAUCAAUUCUGUAACACACAAAAAAUCCUUUCCCCAAAAAUUCCUCUCCAGGUAUGCCACUCGAGCACCCAAUAAAGGAGGAUCAACAAUAGGCCCAGCUAAAAAAAAAUAAAAUUGAGUAACACAAAAAACAUAGCAAUAGGAAUCCACAUAUAGCACGCCCAAAAGGAAUAAAUACUUACGGAGCUUUUUUUCGAAAGGCGUAACUGAGAACAUAGGAUUCCAUAUGCUCCUUCCUACACCAAUAGCCAGUAAAUAUUAUAGGACGGUUGAUUGACCACUCCCUAAACCUGUCCUUUUUCAUCGAAGAAAGAAUUUUGUAAAAAAUGCCCUUAUCCUCAAACCUCAUGGUAGUGAACCAUGAAUCCCUUUCGUCCUUAGGACCACUAUAAAAUUUAAGUCUAUAACAUAUUAAGAAAUCAUAAAAGGAGAGGAGAUGAGACCCCUUAAGAGCCAAAUUGGUGGUGGCAAAAGCUUGUAAUAAUAUUAGAACACAGGGGUUAAUCAUCAAGGGCGAAACUCCACAACGUGCAAAAAAUUCCAUAACUAGGGGAGGAAUAGGGAAUGAUAAUACCUCAAUUUGUUGGCGGUAAAGUAAAAUCGACUCCCUGUCAAUUCCGGGGUCCAUAAUAUCAACAUUAUCCGCAAGCUCUCUCAACUGGACACCAGGGCGAAGAUCCACAUAUUCCACAAAUCGGUCAAAUGAGAGCCUCUUUACUCUAGGGGCAGCCAUGUUCCUAGGAAAGUUUGGACGAGUUUGCAGGUUGGCGGGUAGUUUUGCCUUCCUUAUAAAUAUAGCCAAAAUAUUAUUGUCCGAGCAGGUAAGCUUUUCAUUUUGUAAAUUAAUUCAGUGAUCAAGAGUGUGGCUAAUAGAAAUUUAAUUUUACAUUAUACCAUUUCUUUGACACUGUAAUUGGAAUCAGGAUCAAAGAUGAAUUUGGGAACCAUUGUUUAUGAGCCACCCAGAAAUGGUCCUACAUUGUGGAGAAUUGGAGUCCCUCAUCGCUUAGCCUCCGAAUUCUUUGUACUAGAUCCCUACGCAAAAUUCAAGAACCCAUUGUUCACAGGAUCCUCGGACAAGUUAGUAUCUAAUUCAACAUUUAAACUCAUUUUGAAAAUUCGCUUUAGCUACUACACCAUUAAUUAGUUUCAUUUAUUAUAGCUUAAAUAAUUAAUUUUGAAUAUGCAUGAUUAAUUUACAAACAGGUAUAGACAAGACGAAUUAUGGAAACGAUAUGCAGACUUUUAUUCCAACGAUGAUCUCAAAUACACCAUUGGUGUGAGCAAUUACACUCGGGACUGGUUCUUUGCUCAUGUUACUAUGUACUUGUAUAAUUAUUUAAUCGAUAAUGAUCGAUCUCUUCUCGUUUCUGAAUUAAUCCUGGAGACCAAAAUUGUUAGAUCGGCCUAGCUCUUAAUAAUAAAUUUUGCAUUGCGGGAAAGUAGAAACUAACACAUUUCAACCAAUCACACAGCAGAUUAUAUUUCAAUUGGAGAAUGAGGACAACAAAGGAAAUUAUACACUCCAAUUAGCCUUGUCAGCUGCUACAUACUCUAAUUUGACUGUACAAAUUAAAUAAUAAUUAGCAACUCCAGCUAGCAUUAAUUCAAAACCAAUAAUCCUCAUCAUCACUGAUUCGUUUGCUGAUUUUUUUUUCUUACAAUAAUGGUAUAAAAUAAUAGGUUCAGCUCAAUCCUCAAAGAAAAAGGCGACCUCUAUUCUCGACGGGGACAAUAGGAAGGGACAAUGCGAUUGCUAGACAUGGAUUCAUGGGUUGUACAGAUUUUACAGCAUCAAUAUGCCAAGCAAUUUGCUUCACAGAGGAAAAAAAUAACAUCUGUCUUAGUCAGUCAAGAAGCAACGGACCCUUCCAAGGAGUCAUGUAUGAUUAUAUUCGCUUUGAAGCACCUCCAGGCUAAGGACAGAGUAAAUUCAAUUAUAUCUGUUUUAGAGAUGGCAAUUAAGAGAUGUAAAGAAAUUGACGUACUUUGUUUUUGAACCUGAAGUAUAAAUGGUGAAAGAAAUUGAACGUAUAUACAUAAUUAAAUAGAGUAAUUUUUUGAUUUAAUUAUUUGGGAUGAAGUGUAAAGCUCAGCAUGAUGACUUAUUUCUUGAUUGGUCUGGUCUAAUCAACGGCGUAUGAUCUUAAUCAUUGCUGUUUGAUAGGUCCCAAUCAAAGCCGUAAAUUAUAUAGUAACGAUAGUAUUCUCUUAGGGUGAGAAAAAGACCACAAUAAUUUUAAUUGGAUUCCGCUCCUUUAAUUAAUGACUAUCAAAGAAUUUAAAUACAAAAGAAAUUAACAACUAUUCCUAAUUCCUAGAUAAUAUCCCUAAGAAAUAGAACAUUAACGGGUAGUUAAUGACAACAAAAUCGCCAAAGAUUAUUCAAAAUAAAAUAAUCACUACUCAACCUAAUUUUAAGCUAAUAAGCUAGUGGACACGUAGUCAACAAACUGCACUCAACAACAUCCCAAAGUCCUUGCCACAAUAAUAGUUUUGCAUGCCCCACGCAUGGUUGCUUGCAUGUGCCCAUGCAUAUUCGUCAUAUUUGUUGUUGGGUUUUGCUUCUCACUUGGACUUGCGUAUACUCUUAUCACUGUUAAUAAUUUUUUAUCAAACACACAGUGUAUUCAUGCGAUCAAUAACACUCUUGGUCAAUUAAUUAAUUCUAUUUACUAAUUAGCUAGGCAAUCUAAAGUCAUCAACAUCUCCUAAUUCCACGCAAUUUUAAUUUCUAAACUAGGAUUUCAUUUUUGAAUCCUAAAAUUUAAUAUAACACCAAUUACGUUAUGCAAAUGCACAAAUAUUAGUCCCUUCUGAUAUUCAUAUCACUCAAUCACAACGGGCAACAUGCCAUGAGGGGCUAGCAGGGGCUUUCGAGAAUUUUUAAACUAAUUUUGAUAUUUUUCCAUUUUUUUAACUUGAUUUACCAUAAAUCCUCUACUGAAUUUUAAAAAGAUAAAAAAAAAUGAGAUUCUAAAGUUUAAAGACACAUGUUUUGAUUUUGAUUUUCUUUUUUUUUUAUAAUCUAAAAUCUUUUUUCUCUUUCUGCAGCAACAGCAGUUGCAUUAUUGUCACUCAGGACUCCAUUGUUGUUUGUUUCAUUUUUUUAGUUGAAAAUUUUAAGGUACAUAAAAUAAAUUGGAUAAGUAAAACACAUUUCACUUUCACAAAUUGCAUAUUGUAGAACACAAUUUGUGUCAAAUGCCUCAAAAGUUGAUAGAAUAAAUUAGUUUAAUUGAAUGUAGUAAAUGAAUUGAUGUCCUAGUGGUUGAAUGAUAGUAUAAUUAUGUGUAGAGAGUAAUAAAUUUUAUACUGUUGAUAAUGAAGUUUGCCUUCAACAUUUUCAAGGUAUGGAAACACGUCGGCGCCAGUUAUUGAUAAAUUGAAUGAAAUAUUUUAAUAAAUAUGGAUUUUGGUACUAUUGGAAUUUUUUAAAAAAUUAUAUUAUCAUUUAAACUAAGCUCAUUUGACAUUGAACUUCUGGCACCACCAUAGGGGAUGAUGACAGAGGUCGGUAGCAAAGUUGAUGACAAAGUGGGCAGUUGGAUUCUUUGGUCGGAUCAUGCUACUCAUGUCACAAUUGUGCCAACAAUUUUGAGAAUUACGCCCCUAAAAAUGAUAGGGAUAAACAACAGUGUUGAUAAUAUGAUAGAAUGAAAACAUAUAAAGGCUACUCUAAACGCUAUCGUUGUGUUGAAUAAUCUCAUUUCCGAUGUUUGUGUCUGAGAAUUUCAUACGAACCAAAAUACUGAUUGGUAGUUUGAUGAUCAGCAAAAUAACAACAAUAAUAGCAAUUUCUGGGUACUAAAGCCAUCCAUAUCAGUAUCGAUGUUUUGUGGACUAAUCAUCACGCUGUUAAUAAUAAUUCAUUAUGCCCCUAUAAUAUCCACGCAGAUUUUGAUGACAUAUGUUAUCCGAGUGAUUCUACGUUGCAACAUCGAAGCCUUGACAGUUGAGACUAUCAGGCCCUGGACAAGAACAAUUUUGAUACUUGUGGAGUCGUUGGAGUUUCCAAAAAUGUACUGAAUUAUUGAAAUUACUAAUUUGGCAGUUUAAUGAUCAUUAUAACAACAAUAGCAAUAGCAACCAUAAGGUGAUUUGGCAGUUUGAUGAGCAUCGUCACAACGAUAGCAGUAGCAGCAAUAAGGCUGGUAUUAGUUUAUGGAUAUUAUUGAACCAUUGAAUUCGUAUGGAUGAUUGGAGAUAGGGAACCACCACAUGACAUUUAGGUGGAACUGGUUUGACAAGAUCGGUUGAGAGGGAAAUUUUUUGGGCCCACUAUUUUUUUUUCUUAUGCUUUACAAUUUCUUUUCCCCUUCUCUAUUUUAUGGGGGAUAAUAUUUUAAUUAAAAUCCUACUUGAAGGAGGUAACAAUCUGAUUCAUAUCCUCGAUGCCCCUUACAAGAAACGAGUCUCCAUGGUCUUCAACAUUACGUUCUGUGAACGAUGUUCUCUCAUUUAAAUUGAGCGCAAGUUUAUCCAGUCUCUAAAGUAGAAACCGAAAUGUAGGCUGCAGUUUGUAACACUGUUCAAGCCGAGAACACCUACAAAACACAUAGAGACCAAGCCGGGAACGAGACAUGGCGACUACCAAUCUUCUAACAUCACGAAUAUGACCCACAAAGAAAGUACGGACAGGAAACAGCAAAACAAAGUCAUUUUGCUGACCUUGAAACUUAUGAACUGUUGUGAUCUGACUUGGUGAACUAAUAAAGGAAUAUGGAGCACAUCGCUUGUUGACAACAUCACAAAUCAAAUGCUUUUGGCCAUUGUGAGUUGUCAAGAUGGAUAUGUUACUUGCAGGGUAACCAAGUAGUCUCAUGUAUAUAUAGACACUGACAAUAUAUUCAGCCUCUCCCUGAUUCUGAUAGAACCAAGGAGAAGGUGUUGAAAAGUCAAAAUUGGUGAUUUGUUUAUUCAAAUUAGUUGAAAAAGAAGAGGUGAGCCACAUGCAAAAUUGACUUUUAGAGGAGUUAGGAACCAUGUGCAUGAUUUCUUUAAAAAAUGAAGAAUUUUUGCAACUUUAUAAAGACUUUUUUUAUGCAAUUGAAGAGUUUUUCAAAAGAUAGAAAUGGUGGCCGAAAUCAUUGAAAUAAUUGCAUGUAAAUUAGAUGUUAGGUACAAGCUUGGUGCCUAUAAAUAGAGAGCAUUUUUUCAUUCUAUUUCAUCUCAAAAAUUUAUUAAGCUUAUAAGUUUCUAAGUUUUUGAGAGAAGUGUGUCUGAGGAAUUUAUCUAUCAUACAGAGUAUGAGAGUACUGGGUAUAUUUGGGUUUCUGAGAAGUGAGAUUCAUUACUCAAAUAUUUAUACUUUAUUAAUUGUUAAAUGAAUAAUUAUUCUUUCUUGCCUCCGUGGAUGUAGGUUUAAUUACUGAAUCACAUUAAAUAAUUGUGUCCUUUAUUUUUCUAUGAUUAUUUGGUGCAAUUUUUGAUUCUGCAUUCUGUGCACAACAAGUGGUAUCAGAACCGACGGUUAGUACUUGGAGGGAUACGGUAUUAUUCACGUAUACGGUACUAUUUUAGUAUACGGUACUGUUCACAAAUACGGUGGAGACGGCCAUUGUACUUAGGAGACAGUCUAUUGUAAGUAGUUUGUAUUUUUACAUUUCUAGGAAAAUUCUGUCAACAAGGCGAUAAGAGCCUAAGGAGUCUUGGUUUUAAGUGAGACCGUUGUGACCCCUCCAUUCUCCUGGGAACUUUCCUGGUGUAUUUAUUCAUAUGAAAUUAACAUCAUAGAGGCUGUUUUUCAAGUAGAAAUAGUUCGUUAAGAAAAUGGUAGAAGGUGAAACUUUCAAAAUUGGGGAGAGAUCUACCGAGACUAUUUCAGGAGACACUUUAGGUAGGAGACGAGAUUUGUCAAAUCACUAUUUAACACCUGUUAUAAGAGGCCAAAAGAUCGAUGUUGAAAAAUUUAAUGGGAAAAUCAACUUCGGCAUGUGGAGGCGCAAAGUUAUGGAUGCCCUUAUUCAAAUCGAUCUCGAUGUUAUUCUGAAAAAUAAAAGAAACUUGUAUGAUGAAGAAAUUUGGGAUCGUAUGAAUGAGAAAGCAUGUGGUCAGAUAAGAUCUUAUUUGACCAAUGAGGUGAAAUACUUGAUGAAAGAUAGGAAGUUUAUGAUGACUUUGUGGUGAACAUUAGAGGAGAAGUACCUGCUAAAAAGUCCUGAAAAUCGCCUUCAUACAAUGAGCAAAGUAUAUGGCUUUCGAAUGAAGCCUAGGGUGUCAAUGCACGAUCAUGUCUCAAGAUUUGAAAAGUUACUUGCUGAUUUGAAGAAUCUUGAUGAAGAUAUUAAGGAUGAAGUCAAGGCUGUGAUUCUGUUACACUCACUACCAGAUGAAUAUAGCCAUUUUAUGACUACCUUGAUAUAUGGGAAAAGUGUGAUCAUCUUCAAAGAUGUUUGCACAACAUUGACCAAUUUAGAAGUUCAGAAUAAUGAUACACAUUCCAAAAGAGCAUCGUCUGAAGCUUUGUUUGCCAGAGAAAGGACGAUGGAGAAAAAGAAGAAGCGUGGUGGAAAGAAUUCUCAGUCCAAAUUGAGAAGCAGAAAUAUAGCUCGAGAUGAGUGUGCCUUUUGUCAUGAAAAGGGCAAUUGGAGGAAAGAUUAUCCAAAAGCUCAAAAUAGAGAUGUGAAGAAACCAGUAGCAGCAAACAUGACACGUGAGGAUAGAGACUCAGACUACUCAUUGUCUGUUACGUCUACGACGUAUGUUGCAAGUUCAAGCGAAUGGAUACUUGAUACUAGAGCAACCUACCAUUUAUAUCCUGUUAGGGAAUGGUUUACAGAUUUCAGCGAAUUGGAAUCUGGUGCAGUUGUGAUAGGGAAUGAUCAACCUUGUCGCACGAUGGAGAUAGAUACAGUUCGGCUCAACCUGUUUGAUAAAAUGGUCAGAGAAUUGAAAGAUGUUAGAUAUAUAUCAGUUUUAAAGAAAAAAUUAAUUUCUUUAGGUGCUCUAGAAGCUAAAGGCUACAAGGUUAUCACUGAAGAUGGCACAAUGAAGUUUACACAUGGGACUAUGGUGAUUCUGCAAGGGGUUCGGCGUCACAAUCUGUACUAUUUGAAGGGAGGUACAACUGAUGAAGCAAAUGUUGCUGAGGCAUACAGUGACACUACGAAACUAUGGCAUGUACGAUUAGGACAUGCUGAAGAGAAGACUUUGCAACCUCUGAUGAGGCAUGGACUUUUAAAAGGUACCAAAACCUAUAAAUUAAAAUUCUGUGAGUAUUAUGUAAUAGGCAAGAAAACAAGGGUCAAGUUUGGUACAACUAAUCACAAUACUCGUGAGAUCCUUGAACAUGUUCACAGUGAUGUAUGGGACCAACCAAGACUGCAUCAAUUAGUGGAAGCCAUUAUUUUGUUACAUUUAUUGAUGAUUUCUCUAGACGUGUGUGGAUGUACACCAUGCGAGCAAAUGAUGAGGUUCUAAAGAUUUUUGUGAAAUAGAAGAAACUGGUAGAGACUAAAACUGGCAGAAAGAUCAAAGUGUUACGAUCUGAUAAUGGAGGUGAAUAUACUUCUGAUCCAUUCUUGUAAGUAUGCCUGAGUGAGGGCAUAAAAAAUAUUUCAUGGUGAGACAUACUCCACAACAUAACAGUGUGCUGAGUGUAUGGAUCAUACUUUACUUGAAAAAAGGUACGAUGUAUGCCAUCUAAUGCUGGUUUAGAUAAAAAGUUUUGGGCUAAGGCUGUGAGUUACGCAAGUCACUUAAUAAACCGGUUGCCUUCUGUUGCAAUUGGAGGUAAAACUACUAUGAAAAUGUGGUUUGGAAAGUAUGCACAAGACUAUGAUUCCCUUCGUAUAUUCGGGUGUCCAGCUUAUUAUCAUGUCAAAGAUGGUAAACUGGAUCCUUGUGCUAGGAAAACUAUCUUUGUAGAAUUCAAAAGUGGAGUAAAGGGCUUCAAGCUUUGGGAUUUCGAAGAUAAAAAGUUUGUGUCUAGCAGAGAUGUCACGUUUGAUGAAGCUUUAUUGAUGAAAGCUUCAAGUUCUCAGUAGGUGGAGAAUAAGAUCACAGAGGUAUUGUAACGGGUGGAGUUUGAUGUAACUCCAUAUGUACCAGUUAGUUCUACAUCAGAGAAGAAUUCAACUAUGGAUGUGACACCCAGGGUUGAAGAAGAAGUUUCUUUUGAUGUCCCACAAAAUGAAGAAACAAUUGAUGAUGUAGAUAAUGAUGAUUUUAUAGUAACAAAGAGGCCAAGAAGAGAGAUAAAGAAACCCAGAUGACUUACUAAAGACAUAAUGAUAGCCUAUGCACUUCCAGUUAUUGAUGAUGACAUCCCCAACACUUUCGGUGAAGCAUUACGCAGCAGUGAAAGUGAUCAAUGGAAGUUAGCCAUGAAAGAAGAUAUGAAAUCUUUCCAUCAAAACAAGACUUAGGAACUUGUAAAGUUAACAAAGGGGAAAAAGGGCUAUUGAUAAUAAAUGGGUCUACACCAAAAAAUAAGAAUCUCUUAAUCAAUCAACUCUUAGAUACAAGGCAAGACUCAUUGCAAAAGGUUUUGCUCAAAAGGAAAGUAUUAAUUACAAUAAAGUUUUCUCUGCAGUAGUGAAACAUACUUUCAUUUGUAUCCUACUUGCCUUAGUAGUUGAAUAUGAGUUAGAGUUGGCUCAAUUGGAUGUCAAAACGACAUUCUUGCAUGGAGAUUUGGAGGAAGAAAUCUAUAUGACUCAGCCUUGUGGUUUCAAAGUUGCUGGAAAGGAGAAUCGUGUGUGCAGAUUGAUUAAAUCUUUAGACGGAUUGAAACUAAUUCUUCGAAUGUGUUGAGUUUGGAGAAUUAUGAACUACGAUUGGCUUGAUCCUAAAUUUUGGGUACGUAGGUAGUCACAAAGAUGCAGCCACUUUGGGGAUGAUGGUUUAUUGGAAGUCGGCUCAGAUUUGGACAAAUCUUCGCCAAGGUGGAGAAUUAUUGAAAAGUCAAAAUUAGUGAUUUGUUUAUUCAAAUUAGUUGAAAAAGAAAAGGUAACCCACGUGCAUAAUUGACUUUUAGAGGAGUUAGGAACCGCAUGCAUGAUUUCUUUAAAAAAAGAAGAAUUUUUGCAACUUUAUGAAAACUGUUUUUAUGUAAUUGAAGAGUUUUUCAAAAGUUAGAAAUCGUGGCCGCAAUCAUUGAAAUAAUGCAUGCAAAUUGGAUGUUAGGUACAAGCUUGGUGCCUAUAAACAAAGAGCAUUUCUUCAUUCCAUUUCAUCUAAAAAAUUUGUUAAGUUUAUAAGUUCUAAGCUUUUGAGAGAAGUGAGAGAAGUGUGUCUGGGGAAUUUAUCUUUUUUGCAGAGUGUAAGAGUACUUGGUAUAUUUGGGUUUAUGAGAAGUGAGAUUCGUUACUCAAAUAUUUGUACUCUAUUAAUUGUUAAAUAAAUAAUUAUUCUUUCUUGCCUCCAUGGAUGUAGGUUUAAUUAUCGAACCAUGUUAAAUAAUUGUGUCCUUUUAUUUUUCUGUGAUUAUUUGGUGCAUUUUUUGGUUUCGCAUUUUGCGCACAACAGAAGGGACACUCUCCCCUCUGCCAUUGAAAUCAGGAACAUCCACCAACUGAUAAUCAUAGGAGAAUCUAGCAUUUGCCCCACGGAAAAUUGUUGCCUCAUUCAUGUAAGAAAGGUCCCCCAAAUCUCUGUACCUCCAAUUGUAAAGUCUGGCUAUGCUCGGUCAAGCUCUGCCCUGAGCAUUCAGCUCUAUAUAGGGAAUUCCCAGACGAACAAACCUUGUAAAUAAGCUCUGAUCCAUGUGACUGCAUUUCUGGAAAGCCAUAUUCUUGACAACAUGUGGCAGCUGAUGAUGAUCACCAAUCAGUAUGCAGCGUUUAAGACGUUCAUAGCCAUCCUCUGGUCUCUGGAGCAACAAGUCUCAAUCUCCAACAUUUUGGCACUUUCUUCCAUCAAGAGAUUGUCAUACUUGAAAUCUAAUCGAAGAAAAUCCUCUCUUUAGAGCUGCAUAAGUGCAGGUCAUUGCCACGAUCUUUGCCUACUUUGUCAUCGGUAAUUUACUCGAUCAGCUGUUGACUUAAGCAACUCAAAUGCCCUACACUCUUAAAUCUCCUGGAACAUAUUCUCAAGAUGAUGAAAGCACCCCUUGGUUGCCCGCAUGUCUUCCUUAAAUGACCUGCCCGUGAAAACUGGCUGAGGGGUGUUUGAGAAAGACUCCUUGAAGGGAAAGCGGUCUUUUAUGAAGGUUAAUUUACCUUCAUUAUCCACGCAAGCUGCAAGGAAUUGCUCCCAGUAACAACAAAAAAUAUUCAGCAGUUUCACAAGUAUAACCUACAUCUUCAGGCAGUCAGAGAGAUCUUAUAAGACUCUCAACCUCACUAAGCAAUUCUAACUGUGUAACAAGCAUUGCGUUUACUCGGCCUUCCCGACUGAAGUCAACGUCAGUUGCCAGUUCUUGUUCACCUUGUCCUAAAUGUAGCAGGUAACGUGCAGGAACAUCCCUCUGGAAAAGAAAUCAAGACAUCCAUUAGAUAAUUUGCUAUAAGCGACUGCCAAAGGGUGUAAAACAUAAAAUUUAGAUUUGAGGAAAUCAAAACAUGCCACAGUCACUUGCACAAUAAGCAAGACAAAGCUAGGCAUCAGACAUUUCAAUGCUCUUGUACGCUUUAAAUUGUAUGACAUGACUCUUUUGAUUAAAAUAAGAACUUGAUGACAAUAUUUCAAAAGAGAAUAUUAAUAAACUAAAUUAAUGUAUUAAAAGAUAAUUCGAUAUUCGAAAUUCAUAGAAAUAUACUUGUCUCCGUUGAUUCAACGACAAAGUUGAAUCAGACAAACCUAGGCAACAAACAUUUCUGUGCUCCUGUACGCUUUAAAUUAUUGCAUUUAUCGUGUUGUGCUUUAACCCACCCACAUGUCUAAAGAUGGCUAAACACAAACAUAAUCAUGUGAUGCAAAAUGGGACAUGAAAUAUAAUAACAGUACUUUGGGGGUUAAGAGUUUGAAUGUAAAUUGAGAUUUUAGAGAUGCCCAUCGGCCUUUGGUCAAAUGGGAGAGCGUUUACUCACACAAUGUGGAAGAGUAGGUGUUAGAGCAUCUAUAAAGCAUCUCACCAAGAAAGCCAGCAGUGCUUGUGUUUGCUUGGAAGUAGCCAAAGAAAUUGAGGCUUUGCCAGUGUGUGAGGCCAGGAAUGAUGGAGUCGGCGACAUCUUUUAGAAUGUCAUCCAAUGACUCUGGGGAAUGCAAGGCUAUGUCAGGCAACCAAACUGAUAAAUAACCAGGCUCUACUUUGCUUUGAACAGGGUACUUCUCAAUGUUUUGUAAUAACUAGCAAUGAAAUUAAUGACAACUUUCGAUUCAUCAGCGAAGCUCUUUGGCUCUAAAUCUGCUGAGAGGUUGCUGCUAUGUGUAUUAGCAUUUGCAGGGAGAGAGAGACUUCCCAUUUUAAUUGUUUGAGUUUGAUUUACUCGGCAGGAUGGAUAGAUGGGUAGAUGUGCCGGUCAGUCACACUUGAGACAUAUAUAUGUGUGUGUAUGUAGACGCGCGCACAUUCACACACAUAUAUAUUUGUAUAGCUGAUUCUUUAUCAAUAUGCAGUACAAAACAUUAAUUUAUAACAAAUUUAUUGACCGUCAAGUUUUAUUAAAAGCAUAGAACAGUUACCCGCUUCCAUCGAGGAUUCUUAUAAUUUGCGUAGCGAUAUUAAUCAACUUCCACAUAUAUGUUACCCUCGUCCUCAAAGUAAGUAGCAGACUAAUCUUGAAAUCCAAUUUGAUAACGUUCGGACCACGGAUUCCACAAAACCUAAGAUGCGCCGAGAUGUACAGUAACAUGUCCGCAUUUUAAAUCUGCUGAGAAGUUGCCGCUAUGUGUACUAGCAUUUGCGGGGAGAGAGAGACUUCCCAUUUUAAUUGUUUUGAGUUUGAUUUAUUCGGCAGGAUGGAUAGUUGCCUAGUUGGGUAGAUGUGCCGGUCAGUCACACUUGAGACAUAUAUGUGUGUAUAUAUGCACGCGCGCACAUACAUAAAUAUUUAUACAGCUAAUUAUCCAUCAACCUGCAAUUCAUAACAUUAAUUUAUAACAAAUUUAUUGACCGUCAACUUUUACUAAAAAUAUAGAUGUUAAUUAGCUUCCACAAAUAAAAAUCGAGAAUUCGUAUAAUUUGCGUAGAGAUGUUAAUUAGCUUCCGUAUAUAUGUUACCCUCGUCCUCAAAGUAAUUAGCAGACUAAUCUUGAAAUCCAAUUUAAUAACGUUCGGACCACCGAUUCCACAGAACCCUAGAUGGGAUUAAUUUGAAAUAUUAAUAUAAUGCAAGAUGAUAGUUAUUCACACUAAAAACUUAAUUGAUUUUCAAAUAAUUUUAUUUGAUUGAUUAUUUAAAAUUUUUAAAUUUUAAGAGGUAUACAAUAUACCGGCUUGCUAGUAAAUGAUCGUUAUUAUCUGGCACAAUGAGUGUUUAGUACCAUAUUAAUUAGAGAGACAAUUCCCUUUACUAUUUUGUGGGUCAUCUUAACUCAGUGUCGAAAGAAAGUGUAUUUAAGCCAUUUAGUAGAUGGUCUUGCCAUGUUGUCGACAGAAGGAUUAUUAUCAUCUAACACUGCGUGUUCUUAACACCACACUUAGUGGAAGAUCAUUACCUCUGGCACACUAAGUGAUUGAUACCAUAUUUAUUAGAGUAAGAAUUAUAAGGAGUGAAAAUACUCCCCUCAUGAAUUAAUUGGAACGAAUAUUAAGCCCAUGAUGAAUGUUAAAUGUGAAUCUAAAAACUCAAGCGUCUCAUUUGCAUUGUUUUUAUUUUGAAUUCAUUUCCGCCAUUUUAUUUUAAGUCUUAAGAUAAAAAAAUUCACUUCUAACCAACACACAUUUACACCUAGAACCCUACGCAUAACUAAAUCUACCUCAUCGUGGGAUCGACACUUGUCACCAUAAAAUAUAUUCUACAAUAGAUUCGUGUGCUUGAGAGUACAAUAAAAUUUGCACAACAAUCAUUACUGGUGGCAGGCCAUGAAGAGAGAGAUAACAUAAUUUAUUUCUUGGUGUUAAGUUUGUCAGCAGAUUAAUACCGAACAUUAGAGGCCUGUAGGAUGUUCUUAGCCGCUUCUUGCUCCUAACUAGAAGUGGGAGUUCAUCAACAUAGAUUUUAUAACAUGGCUUUCACUUACUCAGAAGGAACAUAAUAGUGUUUUGGUAGUUGUUAAUCAACUUACAAAAUCUACUCACUUUUUAUUAUUUUAAACUAUUUGAUGGAAAAGUUAGGGAGUAUUUAUGUGGCUGAGAUAGUUCGACUUCACAAGGUAUCAGUGUGUAUCAUCUCAGAUAGAGAUUGUCGAUUCACUUCUAAGUUUUGGACUAGUUUGCAGAAUGCUUUAGGCACCAAGUUGAACUUUAGUACAACUUUUCACCCACAGACUAAUGGUAAGUCAAAGCGUACUAUUCAAACCCUAGAAGAUAUGCUGCGAGCUUGUGUUAUGGAGUUUAAAGGCAAUUGAGACAAUUACUUACCUUUGAUGGAGUUUGUUUACAACAACAUUUAUCAAGCUAGCAUUGAUAUGGCACCAUAUGAGGCAUUGUAUGAUAAAAGUACAGAACUCCAUUAAGUUGGGAUGAGAUUGGUGAGCAGAGGUUAUUUGGUCCCAAAUUAGUUGAGAAUUGAGUAUUUUAUGUUAAGUUUUGAUAUCAUUUUCAUGAAUGUUAGGUAUUGUAUCAUGUCUCCUUUUAAUGAUAGUUGUUUGAUUUAAAGUUUGUAUAAUAUAAUUAUGUUUGUACUUAUAGUUUGAUGAAAAUGAUAUAUUGAAAAAAUAUGACUAUUUUUAAAAUAAGUUCAUUUUUAAAAUUUAUUAUCCAUUUACUAAGCUUAUUGAGUUUUAUGUUCCCCUAUUUUUAUUACACCACCCCCCCCUCCACAGGAGGUUACAAGUACACCAGUCAACCCAACAAAUGUACUUAUUUUGGAUUUUGCUUACGUAAUGGUACUAGGAGUAUUUUGGAUUUUGCUUACGUAAUGGUACUAGGAGUAUUUGAUGUUAUUGUUAAGAUAUUUUAGAUUGUAUAAUUUUGUUAUUUUUGGGUGAUUGAAGAUAAGAAAAUGUGUGUGUGUGUAUAUAAUGUAUUUGGCAUUGGAUAUUUGAGUGAGUUUUGGUAUAUUAGUUGAGAAGGUUGACUAAUGAAGUUGGUUGUAUUAUGAAUUAUUUUUAGGAAUGCUUGUUUUUUAAAUUUACAAGUUUGGGAAUGUUGUAUUUAUAAGGGAGAUUUUGCUGAAUUUUCGGUAGAAUCCUUACUAAUUAGAUUUUUAUCAGUUCAAUUAGCUGCCCUUAAAUAGACUUGCCCUUAGAGUUCGAGGUAGGUCGUUUCAGAAAAAUAUGCAUGUGUACUAUAUUAUUGCCAAUAUUAUUAUUUCCAUUCACAUUAUUCUUAUUAACUAUUAUAGUUAACUAUUAUUAUUAUAAUAGUUAAUAGUAUUUAUUUUCAUUGUUACUAUUUAUAUUUUUAGCGUCAAUUUACUAUUAUGAUUACUUUCAUUUUUAUUAUGAAUAUUAUUAUAAUUAAAACUAUUGCUAGAAUUAUAAAUAAUGAUAAUUUUUAAUAUUGAUAUUUAUUAUUAUUAUUUAAUAUUUAAAUGGGAAAAAUAAUUUUUUUCUUUAAGGGAUAAAAAUGUUAAUUUAUUCCCCAUUCUCAUCCCCGCAUUUUCACGCCUAGCUAUUAUUACCAAAUUUGUGGGCUCCACCAAAAAUCCAUUUUCAUUUCCUUAUAUUUAUAUAAGUAAAUACUAUCAAUGAUUCUCAUUUCUUAUUCUAAUUUCCCAAUUCAAGAAAUAAACAAACCAUUACUCUAGUGGCUUUAAGCUAAGGUGAUUUUAUUUCACACUUGCACAAUAAAAAAAAUUAAUAUAAUUAUCAUUUUUGUUAAAAUUAUUAUUUAAAAACCAUAUAUAGCAUGUACUAUUAAUGGGGAAAAAAAGUGAAACCCCCCUCUUAUUUGACUAAACUAAUCGGAACCUGAUGUUUUAAAGUAGAGAAAUUACUAAUUCCCCUUGGUGAAAUCAAUACAUACCAUUUACCUCCCUACUGUUUUUAUAACAACCAAUAACCCCUACAACAACAUAAUUUUACAAUAGUACUCUUAUUUUUAAAUACAUUUUUAUUCAUAUUUGUCAUAAAUUAAAUAAAUCAUAUAAAUAGAAAUAAAAAUAAAAAUUUAUGUUCCAAAAAUAAGAAAUAUAUGUUUCAAUGUGAAUAAGAAAUUAAUAAUAAGAUAUUUUUCUUCUACUACUUUUUGUUAUUUUACAAACAUUUUCUUAUAAUAAAUAUAUAAAAUAACAAAACUUACAAAAAAAUAUCUUAUUAUUAUUAUUUUUUACAUCAAAAUGUAUAUUUAUUAUUUUUAGUACUUAAAUUUUUUAUUUUUUAUUUAUAUAAUUUAUUUAAUUUAUAAUAAAUAUGAAUAAAAGGGUUAAUUUAUAUUGCUAGGGGGUAAAUGAUAUGUAUUGAUUUUAGUAUGGGGAAAUUGGCAAUCUCCUUAAACAUAUCAUUAGGGUGGUGAUUUAGUGGACAAUGAUGGUUAUUUUAUAGUGAACGAUAGUGUUAUGUGAUAUUGUUUCAAUUGUUUUAACAUAUAUGGUGUGUUUGGGAUUGAGUUUGGGCAGCUGUAGCUUAAAAGUUACAGCACUAAAGUGUUUGGUAAACACUAGUUGUUAUAGCUUGGAAACUAUCUUAAUAUGAUUUUUCACUUGUAUGAUAAAAAAUCUAUUAUAUCUUUAAUAAUUUUGUCAAAAUUAUUAUUAAAAAAUUAUAUUUACUAUAUACUAUUAAUUUUUAUUUUAUAAUUACACUUUUUUUCCACAGCAUCUGUAGCUUAAAAACUACAACACCUCAAUACCAAACAGACUCAUAGUGAGUCACAGAAUUCUGGCAUAUGUUUACGUGCUAACUAUAUGGUGGAUAUUACUGUUCACUAGUUCUUCUUCUCAUAUAGUUAUAAAAAUAUUUUUAGAGUUUCUCAAUUUGUUAUACAAGCUUGAAUGAAUUGGCAGGUCAACUUGACAUAAUUGUUCGAUUAACUAAACUUGUCAUAAACAAGUUGGUUCAGAAUUAAACUUUUUCACAAAUCCGAACUUUAUAGUUUUGUGGUCUACGUAAAUUGGUUAACGAAUAUAAGAAAAACACUUAGACUAAGAGAGGAUUCUAAUUCAUGUAAUUACAAUUCUUUUACUUGAUAAUAACAUUUAUAUUACAUGCGAGGUUAUAUAUUAGAUUAUGAUUUUUAACUACAUGCCAUAUAAUUUACUAAUAUGCCAGAUAUCAUAAUCUUAUGCCAAAUUUUUCAGGAUUUAGAUUUUUUACUAUCUAUCAUAUUAUAUAACAAAUUUUUCGGGAUUUAAACUUUUACUUUAUGUCAGAUUAUGAAAUGGACUCUCAGGUGGUGUUUGGUUUUAAGAAAAGGGAGGAGAGGAGGGGAGAAAAAAGGAGAGGAAUGGAGAGGUGAUGAGAGGAAAAGAGUGCAAAAAUUAAUUGUUAUUAUUUGGUUUCACAUUAAAUUUGAAAGGAAAAUAAAUUACAUAUUUUUUAUUUGGACAAAUAUACCCACUAUCUUUAAUGUUAAUAGUG
rnacentral:lncRNA from 1 species